rnacentral:rRNA from 1 species
CAAUAGCGUAUAUUUAAGUUGCUGCAGUUAAAAAGCUCGUAGUUGGAUUUCGGGUGGGAAUGGCCGGUCCGCCGUUUCGGUGUGCACUUGCUACGCCCACCUUGCUGCCGGGGACGUGCUCUUGAGUUCACGCUCGGGACACGGAGUCGGCGAGGUUACUUUGAGUAAAUUAGAGUGUUCAAAGCAGGCCUACGCUCUGAAUACAUUAGCAUGGAAUAACACGAUAGGACUCUGGCCUAUCUUGUUGGUCUGUAGGACCGGAGUAUGAUUAAGAGGGACAGUCGGGGGCAUUCGUAUUUCAUUGUCAGAGGUGAAAUUCUUGGAUUUAUGAAAGACGAACUACUGCGAAAGCAUUUGCCAAGGAUGUUUUCAUUAA